rnacentral:rRNA from 1 species
GAUGAACGCUGGCGGCGUGCCUAAUACAUGCAGGUCGAGCGAACGGACGAGAAGCUUGCUUCUCUGAUGUUAGCGGCGGACGGGUGAGUAACACGUGGAUAACCUACCUAUAAGACUGGGAUAACUUCGGGAAACCGGAGCUAAUACCGGAUAAUAUUUUGAACCGCAUGGUUCAAAAGUGAAAGACGGUCUUGCUGUCACUUAUAGAUGGAUCCGCGCUGCAUUAGCUAGUUGGUAAGGUGACGGCUUACCAAGGCAACGAUGCAUAGCCGACCUGAGAGGGUGAUCGGCCACACUGGAACUGAGACACGGUCCAGACUCCUACGGGAGGCAGCAGUAGGGAAUCUUCCGCAAUGGGCGAAAGCCUGACGGAGCAACGCCGCGUGAGUGAUGAAGGUCUUCGGAUCGUAAAACUCUGUUAUUAGGGAAGAACAUAUGUGUAAGUAACUGUGCACAUCUUGACGGUACCUAAUCAGAAAGCCACGGCUAACUACGUG